ACAUGUGUCUAAUUGCUACUAAAAACACUCUGUCUUAUCGGGGGUUGAAUUGAUUUUUUUUUAUGGGAGGCAUGACUUGGCAGUUUUUUUAAUUUCUAAAAAAAAACCUCUCAAAUAAAACUGUCUCAGAUCUCUUUCUAUAUUAACGAAAUUGAUUAUCUUUUUGAUUCAGAAAUUCAAUCUGAUAGUAAUAAAAUCCUUGAUAGAAAUAGAUUUCCUCCUUCAAUCGACCAUUUCAAUAACAUUAAAUUAACUCUCUGCUAACAUGGGAUUGAAAUGGAAAGUCUUUGAAAAGUAUUCCGAUCUAACACCUAAUAAGAAGAAGACAAGUAUAUGGCAUAGAGUGAAAAGGAUGCUGGCAGAAGUUAAUUUAAGCGUCGAUCGGUUUCUGAAAGGUGUCCUCUGCUAGAGGUAUGAGUUUAUGUUUGAAGAGAACCAGAUCAUAAAGAAUCAGGUUACUUAAUUGAUCUUUGUUAUUCAAACUUUAAUUCCUCUCAGGUACUUUUAUUAUGCCCCUAUUAAUUCUUAAAAUUUCAAUUAGUUUAUGUAUAUGCGAUGAAUGAGUGAAUUAAUACUAUUGUUGCACUGUUAAACUUUCUUCUGCAUUAUUUAACUGAUAUCAAAUUUGCCUGAUUAAUUGCCUGAUAUCCAAUUGUGUAUUUAUACUUGGAUUUAAUAUUGUCAGGGGACCAUUUAGAUUACUCUCAAGUUGCUCUUCUUCUUGCACAAAGAUGAGAGGCUUUCCUAGCUUACAUGAGGUUUUCAACGUCUAUCAUCACUCCUGGGUCAUUGUAGUGCAUUUCUUUUUGAAUCGAUCUCCUAAAAUCUGUGCUUACACCAUAACGUUAGAUAGGCAGGUUCCUCUACUAGCUCUUAGAUGGAAAGCAGAACAAAUAAAGGAUCUAAUUACUUAUGACAGGAUUCAUGAACGGAAUUGAAUUCAGACUUCUAGUAUUAGGCAACAAAUAUUUUCAUGAAUUGGAUUUUAUUUCUAGGUGCUUUUGGUAUUGUCAUUAUUUUAAAUUACAUUAUUACAUGGAUGUUUUGCCAUGUUAAUUAUAUAUUCGGAUUAUUGAAUCAAUUAAUAAAUAUAUUAGUUCUUUCUUUUUGUUCA